rnacentral:rRNA from 1 species
AGUUGCCAUCUGGUAAUGCAGGGACUCUAGCGAAACUGCCACCGUAAGGUGAGAGGAAGGUGGGAUGACGUCAAAUCAGCACGGCCCUUAUGUCCAGGGCUACACACGUGUUACAAUGGUCGGUACAGAGGGCAGCUACCUGGUGACAGGAUGCUAAUCUCGAAAACCGGUCUCAGUUCGGAUCGAAGUCUGCAACUCGACUUCGUGAAGCUGGAUUCGCUAGUAAUCGCGCAUCAGCUAUGGCGCGGUGAAUACGUUCCCGGGUCUU